rnacentral:lncRNA from 1 species
GUAAAGGUAGAAAGGGUCGGGAGGAGCGGCGGCGCGCCGGGAGCUGGCCUGGCUCCUCGGGAGCGCGCCUCGGGGGCCCCGCCCUGUCUCGGAGGGGCUGRCAGGGUUCGGAGCCUGCGGGCGGCGCUGGCUGGGCCAGCCAGGCAGCGCGGAAUGCUGCACUCCUGAGGAAAAAGGCAGUGGUCCAAGUAUUUUCUGCGGUUUUAAGCGGCUACGGAUAACCUUCCCUCCAGUCCCACAAAAACUAGAUUUGAGUGGAGCUUCAGAGAAAGCAGAAAAGAUAGGAGGAAUCCUUUAUGUUUUUCAUUUAUCCUGUUUGAGGCCAGAGGAAAGAUGUCUGGUAUAACAAGGGUUAUAAAAGUUGAUAUCCUGGAUUUAAAACAUUAUUUAAUUUCAUAUAUUUUUCACCACCAUUAUUUUAAAAAAUUUAAGUAUCAACUCUUUAAAGAAAAAUGACCUAUUAAUAUUAUAGCCUAAUGUUUUCCCACAAACAGUUAUGGAUGUGUUGACCUAAAAUUGUACUGUUUUAAAUUAUGUAAAUCAAAACAGUAAUUUCAUAUUUUCUUUUGAUAUAGAAUUCAGGAUUUACAAAAGGUGCAAGUUUGGGCAGUUCUGAAGACUACAAUUUUGUUAACUUAUAAAACAGGUAAUUUAUCUUUCAGAUCUAAAAAAGGAACAAAUAUUUAUUGACUACUUACAUAUUAUUUCAUGUAGUU